rnacentral:lncRNA from 1 species
UUUGCCUCACCGCUAUCAUUCAACCACUGAAGUCUGUAAGGAUUAGGGUGUUUAAUAGUUUCUAGUCCUAAUUUAUCAACUAAAAUAGUACUAGCACAAUUAACUUGACUACCCGAAUCUAUUAUCAUGCUACAGACUUUACCACCAACCAAACAACGAGUGUGAAAGAUGUUUUCACGCUGUUCAAGUCCCUCUUCUUUAAUAGAAAC